UACGUAGGGCGCAAGCGUUGUCCGGAAUUAUUGGGCGUAAAGAGCUCGUAGGCGGCCUGUUACGUCUGCUGUGAAAUCCCGGGGCUUAACCCCGGGCGUGCAGUGGAUACGGGCAGGCUGGAGGCAGGCAGGGGAGAACGGAAUUCCCGGUGUAGCGGUGAAAUGCGCAGAUAUCGGGAGGAACACCGGUGGCGAAGGCGGUUCUCUGGGCCCGUACUGACGCUGAGGAGCGAAAGCGUGGGGAGCGAACAGG
rnacentral:rRNA from 1 species